rnacentral:misc_RNA from 1 species
ACUCGGCUCCUUCAAGUAAACACACGCGCUCACGCACACAUGCAUCAAACUACGCUCAUUUUCGUUAGUAUCUCACGGGGCCUCGUACAGUAACUUUGCCUUCAAAAUGCCUUUCUUAUAUAAUUAAAUGGUGCAAAAACAAUACCAAAGUGAAUAAAAAGUCUGAAAAAAUAUCGUUUCACACGUUUCCAACGAAUAUUUUAAUAGACGAAUAUUUUUUUGAAUGGGUAGCUGCUUUACGACUGAGCCGACAUGAACUACAACGACAGCCAUCCUCAUCUAGUUGGACCUACCGGAUGAGUCUAAAUCAGUCGUUAACCAAGAUUCAAUCUUUGAUACACCUAGAAAACAUAAACUAAGAGAAAAGUUAAAAAAACAGGAACUUAAUUUAAAAAAAAAUGUAAAAAUAAAAUCAAUUUAUUACAGCAAAGAGUUAGACGUCUUUAAAGCAGGAACUUGCCCCUCAGAGGAAUCAUCAAUUACUUAAAAACACAAGUUUUCAUUGACACAGAUUUAUAUAAUUAAAUAAAUCAAAACAUGGCUACAAUAGAUUUAUGUAACAAUUUGAAUCGAAAAAAGGAGUAAAUAUAUUUAAAACUAUAAACAGGUUUUUAUUUCCACAUACCCAUUUUACCUAUAGUAAAUUGUUUAAUAAAAAUUUUAGGGACUUUUUUUAAAAAGUGUCAACACUUCACUCACUCACACAUCUUUAAAAAAGUGGCUUCACUUU